UGGACACUGACCCUCAGGCCCGUCCAUGGAGCUGGUGGCUGACCACAGACCCCACAGCACCCCGGCUUCUGGAAUAAACCCAACCAAGCUGGCUGGAAUGUGCCCAAAGAGCCGAUGGCUUCUCAUCCCGCCAUUUUCCUCUUCUCGUAAUCUCAAAUGUCCGUUCCUGACUGGCGGGAAGCUGAGGGAGAUGGAGCUCCGGUGUGACUCCAGCUGCUGGAAAAUCCACCUCCUUCCCCAAAGUGGAAUUCAGCUUCUACUGAGAUUAAAGAUUUAGUGCUACUUUUUAUCGCUUGCCUUCAGCAUUCCAAAGUGGAGAAGAGAAAAGCCAUGAUUCAAUUAUAAACAUGAAUACAGCCCAAAACACGUCUUAUCAAGCUGUUACACAAGCAGUUCUGGACUCAGUGAGAUUGCUGGUCAGCCUUCAUUGAAGACUCUCUGCUGCUUUUUCAAGGUACAAUUUAAGCCCAUUUAAGCAUUUUUCAAAGUCUUUCUGCACAGACCACUCUUUUCUCUCUUCUCAGAACAAACUCAAAAGUGUCAUCUGGAUGUCACUGCUGUGACCCAUCCCCUGGACCUGGGCAUGGAGGAAGGGGUGACAUUUUACUCUGUUUUGCCUUGUCCCACUGCUGCCAGCCAGGACAGCCACCAAACACCUUGGGUUUGGUUUGAUGGAUCUCCUUCCAGGCAGCUUUCUGCCUGCUGCUCUGGGGAUCUAGAGGUACUGGAACAGAAGAAUCACCCAGAUGUCCCACAGCCAAAGGGUCUCUCAUGCAUUGUCCUGGAAUGCUUCCAUGUUUGGAUCCACUCAGGAGGAUCUCUGAGCUUUGCCAGGAAUGGAAGACUGGGAACUUAACACAUCAAGAAGAAAUUAAAAAUAGAGAAAUGGCUUCGCUGAAGAUACCAACAACCAUCCAUUAGUCCAAAGAAAAGAAUAUCUGAAGUUUUCUUUAUAAAUUAAACUGAAGGUUAUCUUCCAGCUCUUUAGUGAAGUUUGAUACUUCAUCAGAAGGAAAAUUAACAUGCUCAUCAGCCAGUCCAGAUUCUUAGGUGGUGUGGAGAGCUGUGUGAGAUCAUAUCCUCAGCAAAACUAUGGAAUGCUAGGAAGCGAAUCAGGAGAGCCAAUUCCUAACUCUCAUUUUAACGAUGGGGUGCCUCAUGUUAGUCAUGAAAUGUAAGCAAAUAAUAGGUGUUGCUGAAGGGCUGCUCUUACACUAUUGGCUCUUCCCUCUGAAAGAUUAAAGCAGGAGAGAACCAUUCCUUUAAGUUUUAAAUACAUUGAUUCUCUACAUAUUUCAGCUGUUUUGUGAUGGC